AUUGAACGCUGGCGGCAGGCCUAACACAUGCAAGUCGAACGAGUGGCGGACGGGUGAGUAAUGUCUGGGAAACUGCCUGAUGGAGGGGGAUAACUACUGGAAACGGUAGCUAAUACCGCAUACCAUCGGAUGUGCCCAGAUGGGAUUAGCUAGUAGGUGGGGUAAAGGCUCACCUAGGCGACGAUCCCUAGCUGGUCUGAGAGGAUGACGAGGCACACGGGAACUGGGACACGGUCCAGACUCCAACGGGAGGAAGGAGUGGGGAAUAUUGCACAAUGGGCGAAAGCUUGAUGCAGCCAUGCCGCGUGUAUGAAGAAGGCCUUGUGGUUGUAAAGUACUUUCGGCGGGGAGACGUUACCCGCAGAAGAAGCCCCGGCGAACUCCGUGCCAGCAGCCGCGGUAAUUC
rnacentral:rRNA from 1 species